rnacentral:rRNA from 1 species
AGGGUUUGAUUCUGGCUCAGGAUGAACGCUGGCGGCGUGCUUAACACAUGCAAGUCGAACGAUUAACCCAAACUUCGGUUUGGUUAUAGAGUGGCGAACGGGUGAGUAACACGUGACCAACCUGCCCCUUACAUCGGGAUAACUCAGGGAAACCUGUGCUAAUACCGGAUACUUCGGUAACACCGCAUGAUGAUACCGAGAAAGCUUUUGCGGUAAGGGAUGGGGUCGCGGCCCAUUAGGUAGUUGGUGGGGUAACGGCCUACCAAGCCUGUGAUGGGUAGCCGGGUUGAGAGACCGAUCGGCCACAUUGGGACUGAGAUACGGCCCAG